rnacentral:rRNA from 1 species
CAGCAGCCGCGGUAAUACGAAGGGGGCUAGCGUUGUUCGGAUUUACUGAGCGUAAAGCACACGUAGGCGGAUCGAUCAGUCAGGGGUGAAAUCCCAGAGCUCAACUCUGGAACUGCCUUUGAUACUGUCGAUCUGGAGUAUGGAAGAGGUGAGUGGAAUUCCGAGUGUAGAGGUGAAAUUCGUAGAUAUUCGGAGGAACACCAGUGGCGAAGGCGGCUCACUGGUCCAUUACUGACGCUGAGGUGCGAAAGCGUGGGGAGCAAACAGGAUUAGAUACCCGCGUAGUCCCUGUCUCUUAUAC